GUAGUCUCGCACAGAUGCAUAUCAAUAAGCGGAGGAAAAGAAACUAACAAGGAUUCCCUCAGUAACGGCGAGUGAAGCGGGAAGAGCUCAAAUUUGAAAUCUUGAAAGGUCACCUUUCACGAAUUGUAGUUUAAAGAAGUGUUUUCUGUUACGAUCGUAAUAUAAGUUCUUUGGAAUAGGACAUCAUAGAGGGUGAGAAUCCCGUAUGAUUGACCGAUUAUUGUCAGCUUUGUGAUACACUUUCAAAGAGUCGGAUUGUUUGGGAAUGCAGUCCAAAAUGGGUGGUAAAUUUCAUCUAAAGCUAAAUAUUGGCGAGAGACCGAUAGCGAACAAGUACCGUGAGGGAAAGAUGAAAAGAACUUUGAAAAGAGAGUUAAACAGUACGUGAAAUUGUCAAAAGGGAAGCGUUUGACACCAGUGUUGUUUUCCUCGAAAAUCAAUUAAAAAUGGCUCGAUUUUGUAUUGCUGAGACCUUAAAAGCUCACUGUACAUUUUUCGUGUCUUUUUUAAUGCACUUUUCGUUUAACAAGUCAACAUCAGUUUCUUUUGUUGUAAAAGGGUCAUUGGAAGGUGGCUUUCUUUUCGGAGAAAGUGUUUAUAGCCUUUGGCCUCUGCAAUCGGAGAGACUGAGGUCUGCAGCGUAGACUCUUCGGGGUUAGAUACAUUUGUGCUAAGUUAUAGCUUUUUAUAGACAACUUGUUGACUAUAAUUAGUCUUGUAGCUUACUCGCUUAUGCUAUUUUACCUACGCUUAGGAUGUUGAGUCGUAGAGCACGCAG
rnacentral:rRNA from 1 species